ensembl:snRNA LOC120093936 U7 small nuclear RNA
GAGUGAACACAGCCCUUUCAGAAUUUUUCUAGCAGCUAUUCUGACUUUGGUUGGAAAAUCCAA